AAAGGACAUGGGCGCCUUGUGGCAAGACUGUGGGUGAGAGCAGCCGACACGGACCCCAUGUGAAUCAUGCUCAAACGUCCUCACAAACACUCUGGGAGGUUCCUUGUGGUGAAAUCUGCACUGCCUGCGCCAAUCGCUGUCGUGUGCUCAGAAAAUAGGCGACAACAGGAAUAACGGCAGGUCAAUGUGCACCUAGGAUAGAGAACAGGAUGGGGGUGAAGGAUAAAUGAGGCAUGUACACAAGGCACCUGGGAAAACACUAUUUGCAGGCUCACGGGAUGUCUCUGGGAUCAGAUACACUGAGCUAAGGUAACAGAAGAACCAAACUGGCUCACAAACUCAAGGACAACAACGUGCUACCGCGACGGCAGCGAGGUAGGCGUAGUACAGCAGGAGACCUGGUUCACUUACUUCUUAACGUUCUUCCAGCCUUCGUACGUCGUUGUGCUGCUUUCUUGUACACGGCUGCUGCAGCUGUUGAAGGGGAAUGAAGCUGAAGGGUGGUUUCCGUCGUCUCGGGACGCGUUCCCAGGGUGAUGAAGCCCCGCCAGUACCGCAGGCCGGGAAGCCGGGGCGCUGCAGGGCUCAGCCACCACCAGGUGGCGGCUGGAGUCCAGAGAUCCGGCCCCGGCCCGGCCCGGCCUUGUUCUGCCUCUGGCCCCGCCGCCCCCCGCUCCACGGUCCCAGCGGGUACAGCCGGGCGCGGGGGGAGCCGCCGGGGCUCACACCCUGACGCGAAAAGAUAAAACAAAACAAACAAGGGAGAGCCACAGUUGUCAAAUAACCAGUGUAGCGGAGUUGGAAAGUCCCAACUAACUGCUCUUUUGUCUUUGCUCGAGUUCAGCUUCAGUGAACGCAGCCGGGCCCCAGUUGGUGAUUAAGUGAGGAUUCUUGGAGCCUGGAAAAUAGAGUGCAAUACUUGAAACAGGCGUUUCUGACAGGGACAUCGCUCACCCACUGUCGGUGGGACUGGCAGAGUGUCGCCACGGGAUGAUUUGGCAAGUCCUCCCUUGGGAGCACUGUAUUCCACACACAUCUGGAUGAUGGCACUGCAACAGCACGGGAUGGAUAAAGGGGUGGAAAUCAGCUAAGGAGGUUGGCUUUGCUAAGAGAUGAGCAACUACAACAAAAAACAAUGGUAAGGGACAGAAGAAGGUGAGGGGAUGCUGCAUAUCCACAGUCACCCAGUCUCUGAUCCUCAUUCCCCGAACUGUCACUGACGAGAGCAGGAAAUCAGGGGUGCUGUGGCACCAGAGACGUCCUCCCACUCAGCCCCUCGGUGUGCUAGGGACAACAGCAGUCAGCUGGCUUUGAACGGUGUCAGGAUAAAGCACCAAAACCUCGGCAUUCAGCAAUACAUAACAUGCGCUUCACAGAACGUAAGCACAGCUCCUGAAGUCAGCAAGAAAGGCUUGCUGUCAAGUGUGGUAGGACAGCAUGUCUGCUCCACUGGUCUGCAGUCUGCUUUCCCGCAGCUAACCAAAAUCCCAGGGACCCAGAAAGUGAUCGUAUUCAGGAAUUCACACUCAGCCCAUAAGGAAGCACUGUGUGCAUUUACGUUCCAAGAUGUUCCAUCACAUCAACUUGACUAUUUCUACUACUUUUCUCCAGCUAACAGAAAAGCCUGUUAUGCCUGACAAAGCCCUUGAAGAUUGAAAAUUAGUUUUUUGGAAAUUCUCCGUAUGGAUUAUACUAACGGCGUGGUAAAGCUACAAUAUUUCUUUAAUUUUUUAUGUUUG